AGAGAAAGAGAGAAAGAUAAGGGAAGAAGGAGGAAGAAAAAGGGGAAGAAGAUGCUCGUUGUGCGACGUCAGGGUUGAAUCUUUCAAUUUCGAUGCCGGAUUAGUGAUCCUCAUCUCGAGAUCUACGAUUUGAGAUGAUCUUGCAGGUUAUCCGACUAAAGAGCUAGAUCUGGGACCCACUGUGAAAUUUUCAGCUGAGGAUUGGUGGGUUCCUGAAGAUCUUGGGCAUGGGGCCGAGUGCCCAUGCAAGAGUUGUAUUACGGGACAGCAACACUGAUACCAACCCGGGUUUCUUUUUCUAUUAUUUUAUGAUGUUACCCCUUUUGUGUUUUGGAUGUUUAAAUUGUAAUGCUUGUGUAUAGAUCAUGCCUACGGGCUCACAUGUAUAUGAACUAUAUAAUACAAUUUAGGUAUCAAGAGUAUUGGGGUAUUUACAGAUGUCUACAUGUAAGACUUAUGCUGAAAUACAUAAAUUGCUUUCUUUAGUUUGGGUAUGCUGUGUAGUGGUUAUUGUAUCA